AUGAACGCUGGCGGCGUGCCUAAUACAUGCAAGUCGAGCGAACAGACGAGGAGCUUGCUCCUCUGACGUUAGCGGCGGACGGGUGAGUAACACAUGAAUAACCUACCUAUAUGUCUGGGAUAACUUCGGGAAACCGGAGCUAAUACCGGAUAAUAUAUUGAACCGCAUGGAUCAAUAGUGAAAGACGGUUUUGCUGUCACUUAUAGAUGGAUCCGCGCCGCAUUAGCUAGUUGGUAAGGUAACGGCUUACCAAGGCAACGAUGCGUAGCCGACCUGAGAGGGUGAUCAGCCACACUGGAACUGAGACACGGUCCAGACUCCUACGGGAGGCAGCAGUAGGGAAUCUUCCGCAAUGGGCGAAAGCCUGACGCAGCAGUGCCGCGUGAGUGAAGAAGGUCUUCGGAUCGUAAAGCUCUUUUAUUAGGGAAGAACAAAAGUGUAUGAAUCUAUGGACGUCUUGACGGUACCUAAACAAAAAGCCACGGCUAACUUCGUG
rnacentral:rRNA from 1 species